rnacentral:lncRNA from 1 species
UUCAAUCAUUUAUCAAAGAUUCCAAGUAAUCCAACCACACAAUUCUACAGUUUCAACAAAUAUUCUUAUCUUCAAAGUAUGACAAGACAUUAGCAAAUAGAGGAAAAUUUCAAAAAGUUAAAAGCUAGGAGGUAGAUUUAGUUGACAAUUACAUUGAGCUUGGUCAUGUAGAUUUAGUUGGCUUCCUCUUGGUGUUAAUAUUGAACGUGCAAUUCAACAGAAUCUCUGAAAAUUCGUAGUCCAAAGAAAGUACUAAAAGCUUUUCUAUGUACAAUUACUUUCUUUUCAUCAUCCUUGAGAUAUUGUAGAUGUUAGUCUCCUCUUAAGCUCCAUCAUGCACCAUGCAGAAGAACCAUAUGGAAUAAAACAUAAAAAUAAUAAAUAACCAAAUGUAUAAAUCUCCUUUUAAAAAAAAUAUAUUUAUUAGUAAUUUUUUUGUCUUCAAUAAUUAUACUAGUAGGUGAAUUACCUCAUGAGUUGUUUGUCAAGUGUUGAAGUAGAUAACACCCCUUUGUUCUCUUCGGCUGUUCUUAAAAGGUAAGGGAUAAUCUGUUCCAAAGGUCCAAAUGGCAAAUAUUUGCUCACAUCAAAUCCUGCAUUUCUCAAACCAUAACUCAUAGCUUCUGCAUGUAUCAUAGACACAAAAAGUUAAAAGCUAGGAGAUACGACCUACAAAGUGGUUGCUGCUGGAAGAUGACAUGGAACCUUUCAUUUUCAAGUCACCACUAUGAGAUAGAUGUUGUUCCU